UACGAAGGGGGCUAGCGUUGUUCGGAAUUACUGGGCGUAAAGGGCGCGUAGGCGGUGUGUCAAGUCAGGCGUGAAAGCCCCGGGCUCAACCUGGGAACCGCGCUUGAGACUGGCACGCUCGAGUUCGGGAGAGGAUGGUGGAAUUCCCAGUGUAGAGGUGAAAUUCGUAGAUAUUGGGAAGAACAUCGAUGGCGAAGGCAGCCAUCUGGACCGACACUGACGCUGAGGCGCGAAAGCGUGGGGAGCAAACAGG
rnacentral:rRNA from 1 species